rnacentral:rRNA from 1 species
GACGAACGCUGGCGGCGUGCUUAACACAUGCAAGUCGAACGGAAAGGCCCUGCUUUUGUGGGGUGCUCGAGUGGCGAACGGGUGAGUAACACGUGAGUAACCUGCCCUUGACUUUGGGAUAACUUCAGGAAACUGGGGCUAAUACCGGAUAGGAGCUCCUGCUGCAUGGGGGGGGUUGGAAAGUUUCGGCGGUUGGGGAUGGACUCGCGGCUUAUCAGCUUGUUGGUGGGGUAGUGGCUUACCAAGGCUUUGACGGGUAGCCGGCCUGAGAGGGUGACCGGCCACAUUGGGACUGAGAUACGGCCCAGACUCCUACGGGAGGCAGCAGUGGGGAAUAUUGCACAAUGGGCGGAAGCCUGAUGCAGCAACGCCGCGUGCGGGAUGACGGCCUUCGGGUUGUAAACCGCUUUCGCCUGUGACGAAGCGUGAGUGACGGUAAUGGGUAAAGAAGCACCGGCUAACUCCGUG